UUUAAAGAUCCCAUAUCAUGCUAAUUUUCAGGUUCAUACUUGUAUUUUGUGUUUCUAUUAGAACAUGUUUACAUGCUGUAAUGUUAAAAAAAACACUUUAUUUUCCCCAUACUGUCAGCUUGAAUAUGCCUGUGUUCACCCUCUGUCUGAAACGCUCCGUUUUAGCGCAUUUUGACGGAAUUGCAACAGAAUUGCGUUGCUAGGCAACAGCUUGGGUGUCCAUGUGUACUACUUGUCAACA